rnacentral:rRNA from 1 species
UGCGUAGGCGGUGCAGCAAGUCGGGUGUGAAAUCCCUCAGCUCAACUGAGGAAUUGCGCCCGAAACUGCUGUGCUAGAGGAAGACAGGGGUACGCGGAACUUAGGGUGGAGCGGUGAAAUGCGUUGAUAUCCUAAGGAACACCGGUGGCGUAAGCGGCGUACUGGGUCUUAUCUGACGCUGAGGCACGAAAGCUAGGGGAGGCAACGG